UUUGAAAUCUGGCCUUCGGGUCCGAGUUGUAAUUUGUAGAGGAUGCUUUUGGUGCGGUACCUUCCGAGUUCCUUGGAACAGGACGCCUUAGAGGGUGAGAGCCCCGUACGGUUGGAUAUCAAGCCUCUGUAAAGCUCCUUCGACGAGUCGAGUAGUUUGGGAAUGCUGCUCUAAAUGGGAGGUAAAUUUCUUCUAAAGCUAAAUACCGGCCAGAGACCGAUAGCGCACAAGUAGAGUGAUCGAAAGAUGAAAAGUACUUUGAAAAGAGGGUUAAAUAGCACGUGAAAUUGUUGAAAGGGAAGCGUUUAUGACCAGACCUUUGCCUGGCGGAUCAUCCGGUGUUCUUCACCGGUGCACUUCGCCCGGCUUAGGCCAGCAUCGAUUUUCGUUAGGGGACAAAGACCGCGGGAACGUGGCUCCCUCCGGGGAGUGUUAUAGCCCGCGGUGUAAUACCCUUACGGGGAUCGAGGUUCGCGCUCUGCAAGGAUGCUGGCAUAAUGGUCAUCAACGACCCGUCUUGAAACACGGACCAAGGAGUCGAACAUUUAUGCGAGUGUUUGGGUGUUAAACCCUCACGCGUAAUGAAAGUGAACGGAGGUGAGAGCCCUUUCGGGUGCAUCAUCGACCGAUCCUGAUGUCUUCGGAUGGAUUUGAGUAAGAGCAUAACUGUUCGGACCC
rnacentral:rRNA from 1 species